UACGUAGGUGGCAAGCGUUGUCCGGAUUUACUGGGUUUAAAGGGUGCGUAGGCGGCUUUGUAAGUCAGUGGUGAAAUAUGGCAGCUCAACUGUCAGGGUGCCAUUGAUACUGCGGAGCUUGAGUACAGAUGAGGUAGGCGGAAUUGACGGUGUAGCGGUGAAAUGCUUAGAUAUCGGGAGGAACAUCUGUGGCGAAGGCGACUGCCUGGACCAGCACUGACACUGAGGCACGAAAGCGUGGGGAGCAAACAGG
rnacentral:rRNA from 1 species